AAAGCAGGCCGGGCAGUCGCCGGUGGGUUCGCCCCACGGGAGGAAAGUCCGGACUCCACAGGGCAGGGUGCUGGCUAACGGCCAGGCGGUGAAGGGAACGCGCGAUGCGGAGCAAUCUGCGCCGCGCCGGGCACCGAAGCCGACGGACAGUGCAACAGAGAACAGACCGCCGAUGGCCGCGCAAGCGGCACAGGCAAGGGUGAAACGGUGCGGUAAGAGCGCACCGCGCGGCUGGUGACAGGCGCGGCACGGCAAACCCCACCCGGAGCAACUUCAAAUAGGCAGGCCAUGCAUCGGCCCGGUGCGCCUGCGGGUAGAAGGCUUGAGCGGCGCAGCAAUGUGCCGCCUAGAGGAAUGACUGCCGGACGCGCGCAAGCGCGCCGCACAGAAUCCGGCUUACAGGCCUGCUUUGCAG
rnacentral:RNase_P_RNA from 2 species